rnacentral:rRNA from 1 species
UACGUAGGUGGCGAGCGUUGUCCGGAUUUACUGGGCGUAAAGAGCGCGCAGGCGGUCGUACAAGUCGCGUGUGAAAGCCCCCGGCUCAACUGGGGAGGGUCACGCGAUACUGUUCGACUCGAAGGCAGGAGAGGGAAGCGGAAUUCCCGGUGUAGUGGUGAAAUGCGUAGAUAUCGGGAGGAACACCAGUGGCGAAGGCGACUAUCUGGGCUGCAACUGACGCUGAGGCGCGAAGGCUAGGGUAGCAAACAGG